UCGUGAGGUUGCUGGAGGUAUCAGAAGUGCGAAUGCUGACAUAAGUAACGAUAAAGCGGGUGAAAAGCCCGCUCGCCGGAAGACCAAGGGUUCCUGUCCAACGUUAAUCGGGGCAGGGUGAGUCGACCCCUAAGGCGAGGCCGAAAGGCGUAGUCGAUGGGAAACGGGUUAAUAUUCCCGUACUUGGUGUUACUGCGAAGGGGGGACGGAGAAGGCUAUGUUGGCCGGGCGACGGUUGUCCCGGUUUAAGCGUGUAGGUGUGUGUUCCAGGUAAAUCCGGUUCACUUUAACACUGAGGCGUGACGACGAGGCACUACGGUGCUGAAGCAACAAAUGCCCUGCUUCCAGGAAAAGCCUCUAAGCAUCAGGUAACAUCAAAUCGUACCCCAAACCGACACAGGUGGUCAGGUAGAGAAUACCAAGGCGCUUGAGAGAACUCGGGUGAAGGAACUAGGCAAAAUGGUGCCGUAACUUCGGGAGAAGGCACGCUGACACGUAGGUGAAGUGAUUUACUCAUGGAGCUGAAGUCAGUCGAAGAUACCAGCUGGCUGCAACUGUUUAUUAAAAACACAGCACUGUGCAAACACGAAAGUGGACGUAUACGGUGUGACGCCUGCCCGGUGCCGGAAGGUUAAUUGAUGGGGUCAGCGCAAGCGAAGCUCCUGAUCGAAGCCCCGGUAAACGGCGGCCGUAACUAUAACGGUCCUAAGGUAGCGAAAUUCCUUGUCGGGUAAGUUCCGACCUGCACGAAUGGCGUAAUGAUGGCCAGGCUGUCUCCACCCGAGACUCAGUGAAAUUGAACUCGCUGUGAAGAUGCAGUGUACCCGCGGCAAGACGGAAAGACCCCGUGAACCUUUACUAUAGCUUGACACUGAACAUUGAGCCUUGAUGUGUAGGAUAGGUGGGAGGCUUUGAAGUGUGGACGCCAGUCUGCAUGGAGCCGACCUUGAAAUACCACCCUUUAAUGUUUGAUGUUCUAACGUGGACCCGUUACCCGGGUUGCGGACAGUGUCUGGUGGGUAGUUUGACUGGGGCGGUCUCCUCCUAAAGAGUAACGGAGGAGCACGAAGGUUGGCUAAUCCUGGUCGGACAUCAGGAGGUUAGUGCAAUGGCAUAAGCCAGCUUGACUGCGAGCGUGACGGCGCGAGCAGGUGCGAAAGCAGGUCAUAGUGAUCCGGUGGUUCUGAAUGGAAGGGCCAUCGCUCAACGGAUAAAAGGUACUCCGGGGAUAACAGGCUGAUACCGCCCAAGAGUUCAUAUCGACGGCGGUGUUUGGCACCUCGAUGUCGGCUCAUCACAUCCUGGGGCUGAAGUAGGUCCCAAGGGUAUGGCUGUUCGCCAUUUAAAGUGGUACGCGAGCUGGGUUUAGAACGUCGUGAGACAGUUCGGUCCCUAUCUGCCGUGGGCGCUGGAGAACUGAGGGGGGCUGCUCCUAGUACGAGAGGACCGGAGUGGACGCAUCACUGGUGUUCGGGUUGUCAUGCCAAUGGCACUGCCCGGUAGCUAAAUGCGGAAGAGAUAAGUGCUGAAAGCAUCUAAGCACGAAACUUGCCCCGAGAUGAGUUCUCCCUGAGACUUAGAGUCUCCUGAAGGAACGUUGAAGACGACGACGUUGAUAGGCCGGGUGUGUAAGCGCAGCGAUGCGUUGAGCUAACCGGUACUAAUGAACCGUGAGGCUUAACCUUAC
rnacentral:rRNA from 1 species